UCCUGGUAAAAUCGGGUAGCUUAACUAUCUAUAUGCUAGGAAUACUGCUAUACUAGAGGGCGGGAGAGGUCUGAGGUACUACAGGGGUAGGGGUGAAAUCUUAUAAUCCUUGUAGGACCACCAGUGGCGAAGGCGUCAGACUGGAACGCGCCUGACGGUGAGGGACGAAAGCCAGGGGAGCGAACCGGAUUAGAUACCCGGGUAGUCCUGGCCGUAAACGAUGCAUACUAGGUGAUGGUACGGCCAUGAGCCGUAUCAGUGCCGUAGGGAAACCGUUAAGUGUGCCGCCUGGGAAGUACGGUCGCAAGGCUAAAACUUAAAGGAGUUGGCGGGGGAGCACCACAAGGGGUGAAGCCUGCGGUUCAAUUGGACUCAACGCCGGGAAACUUACCAGGGGAGACAGCAGUAUGACGGUCAGGUUGACGACCUUACCCGACGAGCUGAGAGGAGGUGCAUGGCCGUCGCCAGUUCGUGCCGUGAGGUAUCCUGUUAAGUCAGGCAACGAACGAGAUCCGCGCCUUUAUUUGCCAACAAGAAGUCACGACUUCGUUGGGAACACUAAAGGGACCGCCGUCGAUAAGACGGAGGAAGGAGCGGGCAAAGGCAGGUCAGUAUGCCCCGAAACCCCUGGGCUACACGCGGGCUGCAAUGGUAUGAACAAUGGGCUGUGACUCCGAAAGGAGAAACCAAUCCCGAAAUCAUAUCUCAGUUGGAAUUGUCGGCUGUAACCCGCCGACAUGAACGUGGAAUCCCUAGUAAUCGUGUGUCAUCAUCGCACGGUGAAUACGUCUCUGCUCCUUG
rnacentral:rRNA from 1 species